CGUUGGAUUCAUUCAAAGGCUGAAAGAAAAAAAUUGAGUAGUCUCGUGAAUGCGCAUCUCAGUCUCACUGUCCGCAGCCUGACCACUUACAAACUCUGCUGCUGUUCUUUGCCCAGAGACAGCAGACACCCCAUUCCACUUUCUGGCAGCUUUAGAGAGCCAAUGGAAGCCUUAGAAAAUGUCAUGUAACAGCACAGAUGCUGUAAUUUUGAGAGAGAUGCAACAGAAGGACAACAAAUUGUCAGACAGGGCACUUCCUGUAUAGAAUCUUCUCAGGUUUUGGCCUGCCAUAUGAGUUCUGUUAUACUCACAGACACCAUUCAAACAGUUUUAGAAACUUUAGAGUGUUUUCUAUCCAACUCUACUAAUUAUAUGCAUAUUCCCGUUUCUGGGCAAGAGUAGUAACCAGUUUAAAUCGGUACGUUUUUUAUCCGGCCAUGUAAAUACUGCCCCCUAGCCCCAACAGGUUAACACAGUGUCCAAAGAAGGGCCAGAGGUAUACAGAUUGGUGUCAUCUGCGUAGAGGUGGAUCAAAGAAUCACCAGCAGCAAGAGCGACAUCAUUGAUGUAUACAGAGAAGAGAGUCGGCCCAAGAAUUGAACCCUGUGGCACCCCCGUAGAGACUGCCAGAGGUCCGGACAACAGGCCCUCCGAUUUGACACACUGAACUCUAUCAGAGAAGUUGUUGGUGAACCAGGAUCAUGCCUCAGGACUACCUGGCCAGAUGACUCCUGGAUGUCCCCAGUCCACCUGGUCGUGCUGCUGCUCCAGUUUCAACUGUUCUGCCUGCAGCUAGGGAACCCUGACCUGUUCACCAAACAUGCUACCUUUUCCCGGACCUGCUGUUUUCGACUUUCUCUCUCUACCGCACCUGCUGUCUCGACCUCUGAAUGCUCGGCUAUGAAAAGCCAACUGACAUUUAUUCCUGAGGUCCUGACCUAUUGCGCCCUCUACAACCACUGAUUAUUAUUUGACCCUGCUGGUCAUCUAUGAAUGUUUGAACAUCUUGAAGAACAAUCUGGCCAUAGAUACCUAUUUCUAAUUAUGUUAGAAUGCAAAGAUAAACAAAAUAUAUUUUAUCUCUUCUCACUAACGGCAAAUGAUUGCAUCUUUUCAAUCAAUCACAUCAGCAGAUGUCACAAAGUACUUAUACACUUAUGCAAUGCAGAUGUAGAACCAUGGUGGCUAGGAAGAAACCUAGAGAGGAUAUUAAAAGAGUACAUGUCUAUUAAGGCUAUAUCAUUCUUCAAGAUGUUAAAAUGUUCAUAGAUGACCAACCAAGUCAAAUAAAAAUCAGUGGUUAUGGAAGGUCAACAGGUCAGCACCUCAGGAGAAAAUG
rnacentral:lncRNA from 1 species